rnacentral:rRNA from 1 species
UGUGCCUACGGGGGGCAGCAGUGAGGAAUAUUGGUCAAUGGGAGAGAUCCUGAACCAGCCAAGCCGCGUGAGGGAAGACGGCCCUAUGGGUUGUAAACCUCUUUUGUCGGAGAACAAAACCCGGGACGAGUCCCGGACUGCGUGUAUCCGAAGAAAAAGCAUCGGCUAACUCCGUGCCAGCAGCCGCGGUAAUACGGAGGAUGCGAGCGUUAUCCGGAUUUAUUGGGUUUAAAGGGUGCGUAGGCGGUCCGUUAAGUC